rnacentral:rRNA from 2 species
AGCGGCAUCAGCUCAAAUUUGAAAUCUGGCUCUUUUAGGGUCCGAGUUGUAAUUUGCAGAGGGCGCUUUGGCAUAGGCAGCGAUUCAAGUUCCUUGGAACAGGACGUCACAGAGGGUGAGAAUCCCGUACGUGGUCGCUAGCUCUUGCCGUGUAAAGCCCCUUCGACGAGUCGAGUUGUUUGGGAAUGCAGCUCUAAAUGGGAGGUAAAUUUCUUCUAAAGCUAAAUAUUGGCCAGAGACCGAUAGCGCACAAGUAGAGUGAUCGAAAGAUGAAAAGUACUUUGGAAAGAGAGUCAAAAAGCACGUGAAAUUGUUGAAAGGGAAGCGCUUGCAGCCAGACUUGCCUGUAGUUGCUCAUCCGGGCUCUUGCCCGGUGCACUCUUCUGUAGGCAGGCCAGCAUCAGUUUGGGCGGUUGGAUAAAGGUCUCUGUCAUGUACCUCUCUUCGGGGAGGCCUUAUAGGGGAGACGACAUACAACCAGCCUGGACUGAGGUCCGCGCAUUCGUGCUAGGAUGCUGGCGUAAUGGCUGUAAGCGGCCCGUCUUGAAACACGGACCAAGGAGUCUAACAUCUAUGCGAGUGUUUGGGUGUCAAGCCCGAGCGCGUAAUGAAAGUGAACGGAGGUGGGAACCCUUUUGGGUGCACCAUCGACCGAUCCUGAUGUCUUCGGAAGGAUUUGAGUAAGAGCAUGGCUGUUGGGACCCGAAAGAUGGUGAACUAUGCUUGAAUAGGGUGAAGCCAGAGGAAACUCUGGUGGAGGCUSGCAGCGGUUCUGACGUGCAAAUCGAUCGUCAAAUUUGGGCAUAGGGGCGAAAGAC